rnacentral:rRNA from 1 species
UAUGGUCAAGUGAAGAAGCGCAUACGGUGGAUGCCUUGGCAGUCAGAGGCGAUGAAAGACGUGGUAGCCUGCGAAAAGCUUCGGGGAGUCGGCAAACAGACUUUGAUCCGGAGAUGUCUGAAUGGGGGAACCCACCUAACAUAAGUUAGGUAUCUUAAGCUGAAUACAUAGGCUUAAGAAGCGAACCAGGGGAACUGAAACAUCUAAGUACCCUGAGGAAAAGAAAUCAACCGAGAUUCCCUUAGUAGUGGCGAGCGAACGGGGACCAGCCUUAAGCUGUAUUGAAUGUUAGCGGAACGCUCUGGAAAGUGCGGCCAUAGUGGGUGAUAGCCCUGUACGCGAAAACAUCUUUGCAGUGAAAUCGAGUAGGACGGAGCACGAGAAACUUUGUCUGAAUAUGGGGGGACCAUCCUCCAAGGCUAAAUACUACUGACUGACCGAUAGUGAACUAGUACCGUGAGGGAAAGGCGAAAAGAACCCCGGAGAGGGGAGUGAAAUAGAUCCUGAAACCGUAUGCGUACAAGCAGUGGGAGCCCACUUUGUUGGGUGACUGCGUACCUUUUGUAUAAUGGGUCAGCGACUUAUUUUCAGUGGCAAGCUUAACCGAAUAGGGGAGGCGUAGCGAAAGCGAGUCUUAAUAGGGCGUCUAGUCGCUGGGAAUAGACCCGAAACCGGGCGAUCUAUCCAUGGGCAGGUUGAAGGUUGGGUAACACUAACUGGAGGACCGAACCGACUACCGUUGAAAAGUUAGCGGAUGACCUGUGGAUCGGAGUGAAAGGCUAAUCAAGCUCGGAGAUAGCUGGUUCUCCUCGAAAGCUAUUUAGGUAGCGCCUCAUGUAUCACUGUAGGGGGUAGAGCACUGUUUCGGCUAGGGGGUCAUCCCGACUUACCAAACCGAUGCAAACUCCGAAUACCUACAAGUGCCGAGCAUGGGAGACACACGGCGGGUGCUAACGUCCGUCGUGAAAAGGGAAACAACCCAGACCGUCAGCUAAGGUCCCAAAGUUAUGGUUAAGUGGGAAACGAUGUGGGAAGGCUUAGACAGCUAGGAGGUUGGCUUAGAAGCAGCCACCCUUUAAAGAAAGCGUAAUAGCUCACUAGUCGAGUCGGCCUGCGCGGAAGAUUUACGGGCUCAAAUACACCGAAGCUACGGUAUAUCUUAGGUGAUGCGGUAGAGGAGCGUUCUGUAAGCCUGUGAAGGUGAGUUGAGAAGCUUGCUGGAGGUAUCAGAAGUGCGAAUGCUGACAUGAGUAACGAUAAUGGGUGUGAAAAAACACCCACGCCGAAAGACCAAGGUUUCCUGCGCAACGUUAAUCGACGCAGGGUUAGUCGGUCCCUAAGGCGAGGCUGAAAAGCGUAGUCGAUGGAAAACAGGUUAAUAUUCCUGUACUUCUGGUUAUUGCGAUGGAGGGACGGAGAAGGCUAGGCCAGCUUGGCGUUGGUUGUCCAAGUUUAAGGUGGUAGGCUGGAAUCUUAGGUAAAUCCGGGAUUCUAAGGCCGAGAGCUGAUGACGAGUUGUCUUUUAGACAACGAAGUGGUUGAUGCCAUGCUUCCAAGAAAAGCUUCUAAGCUUCAGGUAACCAGGAACCGUACCCCAAACCGACACAGGUGGUUGGGUAGAGAAUACCAAGGCGCUUGAGAGAACUCGGGUGAAGGAACUAGGCAAAAUGGCACCGUAACUUCGGGAGAAGGUGCGCCGGUGAGGGUGAAGCAUUUACUGCAUAAGCCCAUGCCGGUCGAAGAUACCAGGCCGCUGCGACUGUUUAUUAAAAACAGCACUCUGCAAACACGAAAGUGGACGUAUAGGGUGUGACGCCUGCCCGGUGCCGGAAGGUUAAUUGAUGGGGUUAGCUAACGCGAAGCUCUUGAUCGAAGCCCGGUAAACGGCGGCCGUAACUAUAACGGUCCUAAGGUAGCGAAAUUCCUUGUCGGGUAAGUUUCCGACCUGCACGAAUGGCGUAACGAUGGCGGCGCUGUCUCCACCCGAGACUCAGUGAAAUUGAAAUCGCUGUGAAGAUGCAGUGUAUCCGCGGCUAGACGGAAAGACCCGUGAACCUUUACUAUAGCUUUGCACUGACUUUGAAUUUGCUUGUGUAGGAUAGGUGGGAGGCUUUGAAGUGUGGACGCCAGUCUGCAUGGAGCCAACCUU